GUGACUGAGAGCAGGAGAGUGACCUGUCUUAUCAGCGGGGAAGCGCAUACCUCCCAACACUCUGUAUGCAGAAUUCAGGACUACAGCGUGCGUCGAACGUGCAUGCACCCGAAAAGGGGAAGUGGCCUCAACAAAAGGUGGUGUGGCUUCACAGGAAUGCCGCAACCUCCAGCCACCAUCACUGUGGAAGCAUGCCCAGUACUGCAGGAGUUGCUGCCAUGAGUCUUGUCCCUCUCUUCUGUGAAUAAAGCAGCGAGCGACAGGGGUUCCCCUAACUCACCCACCACCUUAGUUGGGACAGGGACAGUGGUACAGUGUUCCAAUAAAUGGGACUGCCCAGCAAAAAUCGGUACAGUUGGAAGAAUAACACCAGGCUGUAUGAGGAGGAAGCUGAACUGACGUGUUAUACAUGCUGAAAUAACUGUUAAAUGCUCCGGGUUUGCCUCUGUUCCCUAAUUCCUGGCCUGUCAGCUGAUGAUUAAUGAGAAGGGAAUAUGAAAGAAGCCCACAAAACACAAUACAGAAACAGUACUCGGGGCCACAAUCCCUGAGCCUUAAAUCAUAACGGUGGAAUAAAAAGAUGAAUAAAUUGCCCAGUAAAA